rnacentral:tRNA from 1 species
GCUCCCAUGGCGUAGUGUCCACUGCGCUCGCUUUGCACGCGGGAGACCCGGGUUCGAUUCCCGGCGGGGUCA